AUUGAACGCUGGCGGCAUGCUUUACACAUGCAAGUCGAACGGCAGCGCGGGCUUCGGCCUGGCGGCGAGUGGCGAACGGGUGAGUAAUGCAUCGGAACGUGCCCAGUAGUGGGGGAUAGCCCGGCGAAAGCCGGAUUAAUACCGCAUACGACCUGAGGGUGAAAGCGGGGGACCGAAAGGCCUCGCGCUAUUGGAGCGGCCGAUGUCGGAUUAGCUAGUUGGUUGGGUAAAGGCUUACCAAGGCGACGAUCCGUAGCUGGUCUGAGAGGGCGACCAGCCACACUGGGACUGAGACACGGCCCAGACUCCUACGGGAGGCAGCAGUGGGGAAUUUUGGACAAUGGGGGCAACCCUGAUCCAGCCAUGCCGCGUGCGGGAAGAAGGCCUUCGGGUUGUAAACCUCUUUUGUUCGGGAAGAAAACCUGUGGGCUAAUACCCCGAGGGGAUGACGGUACCGGAAGAAUAAGCACCGGCUAACUACGUG
rnacentral:rRNA from 1 species